ACCCAGCCUGAGAUACAAAUAUCUCCCAUCUGUCUCCCUCGAAGCUCAGAGCUCUCUGCCGCCAACUCUGCCAGGGUCACCAUGCUCUCCCAGUCCUUGCUCCUCUGGCUGCUACUGCUCUGGCCUCAGGAAUCCCAGGCAGCCAUUGAGGUGACCCAGUCCCCAGCCUCCCUGUCUGUGGCUGCAGGAGACCAAGUCACCAUCAGCUGCAAGGCCAGUUCCAGCAUUAGCAAGUGGAUGGCCUGGUUCCAGCACAAACCAGGACACUCUCCCAAACAACUGAUCUAUGAUGCUUCCACCCUGAACUCUGGGGUCCCGGCCCGGUUCAGUGGCAGUGGCUCUGGAACAGACUUCACUUUCACCAUCAGUGCAGUGGAGGCUGAGCAUGUGGCAGAUUACUACUGUUUUCAAGGUUACAGUGAUCCAUUCCCACAGUGUUUCAGCGCUGAACAAAAACCUCCCCAGGCUGCUCAGCCCUUCAGCAGGGCAGCAGCUGCUUCAACACAGUCAAAGGCUUGGGGCAACCACUGCCCUCAGCAGAGAAUGGGCCCACAUCAGCCCUGCUCCCAGCUGCUGCUCCUAACUUCUGAGCUCAAGCAAUGCACCAGCCUCAGCCUCCCUGGUAGCAGGGAUGACAAGCUUGGGCCACCGUGCAUGGCUAUGUACCAGGCCUAG